ensembl:lncRNA
UUUUUUUUUUUUUUUUAACUGAUUUUGUUCAUCAAUAUACAUGCAUAAAUACUUUUUUUUUUUUUUUUUUUACUGAUUUUGUUCAUCAAUAUACAUAGAUAAAUACUUUUUUUUUUUUUUUUUUUAACUGAUUUUGUUCAUCAAUAUACAUGCAUAAAUACUUUUUUUUUUUUUUUUACUGAUUUUGUUCAUCAAUAUACAUGCAUAAAUACUUUAUUUUUUAUUUUUUUUAAACUGAUUUUGUUUAUCAAUAUACAUGCAAUAAUACUUUUUUUUUAACUGAUUUAAGUGUUACAGGCCAAAAGAGAAAAAGAUUGUAUGAGCAUAUUGAUGAGCCAUUAAGUGUUUGAAGUGUUAAAGGCCAAAAUAGAAAAAAAUAGUAC